rnacentral:rRNA from 2 species
CGAGUGGCGGACGGGUGAGUAACACGUGGGUAACCUGCCCUUAAGUGGGGGAUAACAUUUGGAAACAGAUGCUAAUACCGCAUAAAUCCAAGAACCGCAUGGUUCUUGGCUGAAAGAUGGCGUAAGCUAUCGCUUUUGGAUGGACCCGCGGCGUAUUAGCUAGUUGGUGAGGUAACGGCUCACCAAGGCAAUGAUACGUAGCCGAACUGAGAGGUUGAUCGGCCACAUUGGGACUGAGACACGGCCCAAACUCCUACGGGAGGCAGCAGUAGGGAAUCUUCCACAAUGGACGCAAGUCUGAUGGAGCAACGCCGCGUGAGUGAAGAAGGCUUUCGGGUCGUAAAACUCUGUUGUUGGAGAAGAAUGGUCGGCAGAGUAACUGUUGUCGGCGUGACGGUAUCCAACCAGAAAGCCACGGCUAACUACGUGCCAGCAGCCGCGGUAAUACG